GGGGGGGAAUUGGGUGGCCGUUCCAUUCCAGGAUUCGGGACGUGUGUUAUCAAGGGUUAUACAUUUUCACCGGCUCGUAACCGCGGCUCGAAAAUUUGCGAAAAGGACGUACGCAAGGAUGUGUCGCGCGCGUUAAAACGCGGACCACCCGGCCGGCCGACGGCGGAAGUGGUGGCACGGCCGAUGCCCGCAGCGAGAAAUUUGCAGUCGACGAGCGUGUUCGCGGCAAAAUUUGCCUAAUACGCUCGUAUCUAAGCAAGGCAUGCGUCGAUGCUGCGCGCCGCGUCAACCCCUCCCCCCGCGCGAUAAAAUUGAUUUACGAGGUGAGGGGAGAGCGUUUGUUGAAAAUGUAUGAGGGACGUAAAAUGUAUAAGGUAUAAGGUACAUAACCUGGUCAUUUGCGAUGACAUAAUUGCAAAAUUGUGAAUACGUUGCAGCGUGCAAGGGAGUCUUGCUUGGAACGUUUCAGUUUCAUUUCAAGCGCGAGAUAAUUUCCCGUGAAAUCGGUCCAGAGGAUGGAUUUUUUUUUACUACUACGAUCGUAGUAAGAAAAACUUACAAAUAUAAAUUUCGAAUUUACAUUUGGAUUUAUCCGUUUAAUCGUUUCGUCGAUUAAGAAAAAUAUUUUCCGUUGUCAGAAAUAAUUGUUCGAAAUUAUUCGAAGCGCAGAUUGCCCGGCACACGCGACAUCUCUAGCGUUAAUUUAAUCCCAGGCAUCGUCUUCCCGGAUCGAAAACACGCGCUAUAAAAUUUUCAGAAUGAUUAAUCGCCCGCUGGAAGGAAUUACGCCACGAAGAAAUACGACAGAAGCGUCGCGGCGUUUACACAGCGGUUCCGAACACUCGGAUCCGGCCGCGAGAUAAAAUUUCAAUUAUAUAAUUUCUGGCCGUUCCCUCCGCCGAGCGAGGCUCACAAUUCAUCGUUAGUACUGUAUUUCCAUCAGCCCGAACCUAACGAUUUCAAGCGCAGGCUAACGUAACCGCGACGGGGUGUGCGUACAAAUGCGUGUACGUCUUAUCGAGCUAUCUAAUCCCCGUAUUCCCCGAUCGUGGACCACCCAGGCUGUUAUACACCGCGGAAGUUGGCACGCACGAUUUGCACACGCACACGUAUCACCCCGGCGUGUCGCCGUUCAUGUACACGGUGUAUCACUGUGAGCUGGCUUGUGCAAGUUUCUUGUUAAGUCCUGUUUCCAACCGGCAAGAAUACAGUGUUACAUUAUUUCGCAAUUACCGGCCACUUUUUCCGAUUAUCCGCUCACUUUAAUCACGCGUUUAAUUAAAAUUAUCAUCCGUUGGUACGGAAUAUAAGGAAUAAUUGUAUUUAAUUCGCUGUUAUAAAUAAAAAUAUCAGAACGGAGAGAGACGCGGAUCGAAAGAAGUCGGUGAGGGAGAUAAGGAAACUUUAAACCAUUUUUCCUUUCCUCCAAUUCAGAGUUCUCGAAAGCUAGCACUUACCCGGAUUAGAUCAGAUCGGAAGAAGAUAAUUUUAACAUAUCCGAUCGGCAUACGUAACUUGAUCUCGGACUUGAGAUAUUAGGAGCACGACUUUCGAACACCCCGUAUAAUCCGGCGGCAAGUCGCAAGGCCAUAUACGUUGCACGUGCCAGCCUUCGAAGGAAAGAAAGUGUCGACGAUCGUGGCGAAUAAACGAUCGUAACGCAACAUUUAUUAAUGACCGUUCGAUAAUUACUCCUUGUACCCGAUCGAUCGUCAACGUUCCCCGCACCUUUCCCCCCUCCCCUGUUAUUAUUCCCCUUCGAAAUCGCACGAAACAAGCACACGCACGAGCCGUAUCCUUCUAAUCUCUCGCGAAAGAGAGGCCUCGAGUUUAAAUUAAUGGAUAACGACACCGUUCGAAGAAAGGGAAGAAAGAAAGAAGAAAAAGUUGUCCGAUUCGGCUCUCGAGCAAUGUGUCAGUCCCGGUGAAGGGGUUAAAGGGGAGCAACCAAGUAUCGGAUCGAGGUAAAGUGCGAAGUAGAGACGGCCCCUUAUAAUAGCGCGGCUCAUUGGGUGGUCCAGCGGGGCCACCGUGGGUGGCCCACUCACCAACACCGUCUCGAUAUUAAGCACGGCCACGUGUAACGUGUGCACGUAUAUCGGCGGUGAUACAGGCACGCACACGCGGCCGCGGGCCGCGUUUAACCGCGAUAUAUCAUUUUACUUAGCACCGAAGCGGAGAGGCUGCAGCCGGUGGCUGAGCCGGGGCCAGGAACGUAACAAGUAUGUUCCGUGUCGACUUUACAACGACAACGUUCCAGUAUUUAUUCACGGGGCCAGAUAACUUUGCUUUCUCCUCCAACUUAUUCCACGUGUGCCAACUUCCACACCCCGGCGGACAGGAGAAAUUACCGUCCCGUGUCUUAUCGUUCCCUGCCUCUUUCAAACUGCGGCCAGACCCCUUCUCGCUUCCUUUCCUCCUCCCGACCUUCCCUCUCGAUACUCUCUGAGUACUCCUGACGACGAUGUAACCGUUUUUUAACGAGGAUGCGAAUCUGUAAAGAGAGAGAGAGGGAGAGAGAGGUUAGUGUUUACGAACUCGUUCGCUCUCGAAGUGAGGCAUUCUCGUUAGAUCGAUCAGAGAGAUCCUCGUUCGUGAAUCGAGGCCAGAGAGAGCGCCCUUUUCAAGAAUCGAGCAAAAUGUAUCGAAUCGAAGUUAGGAAACCGGCGCCCCACAUCGGCUCUCGAAUGGCCAACGUGGGGAGUCGACGAUCCUGUCGACGGACAAUGAGAUGAAAAAUAACGUGCUGGACCAGGUCGGGUUAAAGGCUUCGUUGCUUACGUACAAACCGGCCCCCCCCUCUCCCUUUUCUAUCCCUCUCCUCCUCCUCUCCGCCUCUCCUUUUCGUUGUCCCUCGUCCCUCCCCCUCUCGCCCCGGAUUCCGCUAAGUCAAUUCCACGUUGAGGAUACGGCAGAGGCGUCAGACGACCUGGGUGGUCCCCGUCCUACGCAAACAGAGUAUACAAGCGGAUACACGCUGGUUGAACAGGUAGUGCGCGCGAAAAUUUACUGACUUUCUGGAUUUCGACCGCGUUGCGUGUGGACGAGGGUUGGAACGACUCCCCUUCUCUCCCUUUUUCUGCCUCUCAAAAAAUAUCACGAAGGAAACACUUCGUGGAACCGACAUUUUGUUCGAUAAAUGUUGCUCGAAUGGAUGAACCGGGACUUGUUCUCGGGAUCUGGUUCUCGAAGUCGCGAGGUUUAUUUUAUGGGGGUGCGUCUUCCUUCGCGGAAAACGGGGGUACCGUUAUUUUUAUUAGCGCUCAAAUCUACGCUUUGUGGAUCAUAAAGGAUACACUCUUCUUUUUUCAGGAUUUGCUCGGCGACGAUGGGUGGAUCGUGUAAUAUCGUGUGUCUAGGAAGUUUGUGUCAAUUUCACGUGACGCGACACACGCUGGAAUUAAUCCGAAAUGUAUGAUUUGUAGGUAGUAGGUACACGGUUGGAAUUGUCAAGUAGAACGUUCUUUGUCUUUAGACGUAACUAGAAUAUCAAGUAAGACUUUAUUCUAGUAGACAAACUCGAUAUUCCGACGUUGAAAUGAUUGAAGUUAGAUAACGCAAAAAGAGAAGAAAUCGUACGAAGCACGAGUAUCUAUCAUUUUAAUGCUAAAAUGUCCGAUAAUAUUCUUGCUGUUUUAAGGAAACACCAAGAAAUUCGAGGAAUUUCUUCCCACGAACGUUCGGUGCCGAUUUAUCUAAUCACAACAUGCGAUGCACGUCUCAAUAUCGUUACAAAACAAUUGCUAGAAGCGCGAUAUCGCCGAAUCGAAUAAGAAUAACGAAGGAACGAUUCGCAAAACUUCUCGCGGGUAUCACGUCUCGGGACCACCAUCGAGCUCACCCGCGACGAGCACGUGAACCCAUACAUAAGCGUGCAACAGUCGUAUCUUCGACACGGCCCAACACUUAUAAAAGCAGGAGCGCGAUGGCGGCGCGCCACCGUCACAAUGACCCAUUGUCGAGAAGUCCUCUACUUGAAUGGAGACCAUCCAGGUCGCCAGGUUUCCAGUUGGUGAUAAUUCUCUUAGGUGAAAUUAGAAACGCCCUUUAACUUUCUUGGGCUACCAACGUUUCGUACGAUGACCGAGAAACAUCUUUCUUUCCGGAUAUUCUGGAAAUCGGCGAAGAAUGGUUGCCCCGCUGCGUGAACGAUUUCGAGUUUAGCGCGAAAAGAAUUUCCUUGGUAGAAUUUCUGGAAACUCUCUUCGGAGAAUUGUUCCUCGGAUUCUCAAUUUGAUACGAGUUAAAAUGGUUAUGGGGAUCACUUUGGCUACUUUGGUAAUUCAAAGUAAAUUGUGAGGUAAUAACAUGAAUUAUUUGUAUAAAUAGAUUAAGUACCCGAGCAACUUCACGAAAAGAAAGAAAAAGGAAUAUAGAAAAUUUUAUGAUUGUACAAGAUGGAACGAAAUAGCCGUGAAGUUUGGAUUAUCUGCUAUACCCUCGUCAAAGUAGACUUCAAGAUUCAAUCCGAUAAGAGUUUCCAUGCUACGAUAAGUAUCUUGUGAAUACAAGGUUUGCACCUCUGAAGGAGCAGUGAAGUGUACUUACAGGAAGGUGAGGAAAGUUCUUGGACUUCGUGAUGGAAUUAUUUCAAUGUAAAAAUCAUUAACUCUUAUUAUUUCUCAAGAGUGAUUUUAUUAUUAAAACGUGCUCAAUUAUGACGUUGAGAAUUUUUUUAUAAAAUAUAUGCGCUCGAUAAUAAAUUAAUAAUAUGUACUUAGUGUCGUAAGUGAAUUACGAAAAACCAACGUUACCAUCUGUCUCUUUGUACAAUGCACAUGCGUGUACUUCGAUGCAUUGUGAUUCCGAAAAAGAAAGAAGAAAAAUCAAAGAUCUCUACUUUAUUAUCCCAUUGCAAGCCACCUUUAUGCACGUUUCAUGCGCCAUAAAUAACGCCUUUAAUGCUACUUUAUUUGUACGCGCGAUGCGAUCCAUUGUCAUGAGGGACUCGUGCAAAAGCAUGAAUAACGGUACAAAGUUUCGUGUCCUUGCUACCGAAUCGUAUUAACUUGGUGUUCGGCGAACAAGCGCAACUCUCUAUGCAGACUGCCUUGAACGAAACGCAACAAAUCGUCCGUAGUUGGAUUUACGACUUCGAUCCGUAUUAUUCGGGUUAACCACGGAGAUGUAUCGCGACGUGCCCUUGGUCGGUUCCUGGCCCUGACCAUAUCGCUUUUCGUCAUGGCCCGAGGUGUGUCUACGGACCACCGACGUCGUCGCAAUUAGAUUAUUAUCUUCGGAAGAUUUUCAAUCAUAUAAAAACAAACUUGUCACUUGUUUCUCCUCUCGAACAAAGAAACUCUUGUUGAAACGCACGAGAAAGAAAUGAGCAUUCACGUUCUACACGUUCGCUCGAAAAAAAGAAAAAAGAAUUAUCUCUUUAAUAAAAGAGACGUUCAAGAAGUUAAUCCUAGCGUGGAAACGUUGCUGAAACAUUUUCGGCUCCAAUUUUCACCGCGACCAUUUAAUUAACGCUCCGUGUAAUCAACCGAUAAUUACCAUUCACGGUAUCGAACGGUCGCCACGUAGAUCGUAUCUCUAACAGGCACGUAGCAAGAAAGGAAACGAGGAAGAGGGACAAAGAAUCCGCCGAGUCAACGAAGAUAAUGACAAUUCACCGUCCGGAACGGAAUUUCUUGGAGGGUCGUUCGGCCAACACCGGAAGUCGAUGUCCCCGCGGUGUUUCGGCGCCGUGCAUCCAACUACGCGGCCGUAUCGUGGAUAAUCUAUCGACGAGAAGCACCGGUAGCGGUCGUAGAUGCAGAUAGCCAAGGGUUACGAUCCUCCUCUCACUGUCUCCUUUCCACGUGGAAAGGAACAGGUCUGCGUCCACGAUGAAGAGUAACGAUUCCUCUUGUUACAGCGGCAAAGGACGAUCCUCUGCUCAUCCUUGGCAUUAGUCAUCACUGGAUAGAAAUUAACGACGUUGUACAAUACCGCAAGAUGGAAAAUCGAAAUGUGAUCAAGAAGAUAGAAAUUCGAAUAUCAGAUUUGUACGAUUUUCACGUGAAUAUAAUUAUAUUACAGAGGUGAGAGAUUUAAUGUCGAUGGAUGCUUUGAAAAAUGAGAUGUAAAUGUGUUGUUGGAAAGUUUCGGUGAAAAAUCGAUAACGUUUUAUUUACAUUUAUCAUUUCGUUUAAUGGGUGCAUUACGGGCUAUAAAUUCUCAACUGACGUUUAUAACUUUAAUUCGCAUUUGAACAAACAUAAUAAAGGCGAUAAUCGAGAAAGAAAAGAAAAUGUGCAAUUCAAUUACACAAAAGUAAUAUUAAUAACAUGCGUUACUUUUACACCUCUAUUCUCAACAUUUAUAACCUAUUCUGAACAAUUUUAUUCUCGACAAUUAUUGAUACUUUCUCCUGAAAUACCAUUACGAAUUAUAUUUCCCAUUCUCGAUAUGGAUACAUGUAUUACGUAUCGAGAAAACUUUCAACGGUAAACGACUCUGUUUUAAUCCGAUAAUUGCAAUUUUGAACCACAUAUCAUUAAAAAAAAAAAAAAGAAAGAAGGAAUUAAGAGGAUCGAGUAAAACAUACAAUAUUUUUAAAUUCGAUUCGAGAUCUAUCGAUACCUCGAAUAAUCCAGCUUUACACCAAUCGACAACAAUAUUUAACUCAGCCAUCGAUCGCUCGAGUCUUAAGAUUAAGAUGUUGGGAUCACUGUCACGUCUCCAUUUUCCAUCCAACAAUAUUCAUCAACCCCUUAUUACAGGUAAAGAGAUCAAGCAUCGAACGAGCCUGUACGACGGUAGUGGUUCACCUCGAAUUUACCAGAUUAUUCCAUCACGAGGCAACAAUAGGGGAUAAGGAUAUAGUAGUAUCGGUGAUGGCCAGCUGCGGUAUCGACGGGAGACCUUAUUUUCGAUGGUAUCUGCAAAAUAGAAACAAACGAAUGGAGGGACGGAUGGAUAGACGGACGUGUAUGCCGCAUUCCGUGUUUAUUAUUUUGCCGGUGGGUGGUCUGGAGAAGUCCAGAGCCGUCUUGGUGGCCGAUAGCAUCUCUCGUGUCUCUCAUGUGCACGCACCGUUGAACGCGGCCAACGCAGUGAACGAACGUGGCGCAUCGAGUCGUCUUGCGUAAGGGAAGUAGUCGACUUCUCUUCUUCCCCCACGCUCCAUUCUCUCCAUUCUCUCAUUUCCACAGUUUCUCCUUCUUCCAUCUUUCGCCGGCUGCCUCCGCUUCUUCCCCUUCUCUCUUCUUCCUUCUGGUUACGCCGUUCCCUUACUUCAUCGGGAUCUAUCUUUCUCGGGAUGUUAGUUCUUUUUAUCCUUAUUUUUUUUCUCUUCACUCGUAUGUCGCUGCUUAUUUUUUCGCCUUAUUGUCGCUUAUUGUUCCCAAUGCGCCCUCUCUCUCUUCCCCCUUCUUUAUUUCCUUCGUAUAUGACAUUGCUGCCUCCUUUUGUCCUCCUCCGGUGGUUCGAACGUUUUCUGCUUUUAAAUCGAUGAGUUUUUAUCAGUGUUCUUCGUGUUCUUCUGGAAGGGAAGAAGAAAAAGAUUUUGGAUUGUCGUGCGUUGUCGAUUUUUUUCUCUUUCUUCCUUUUCUUGAUAAAUUAAAUGUUAUUAUUAUUUCGAUCUUUUUGCUCGCAGUUUUCGAUUGGUGAAAACGAUAUGAGAGAUAUGAAGAGGAUACGAGAGAAAUGAGAGGUAUGAUAAUGAAAUAAGAGUAUUUGGAAAUCGAGGAGCAAUAAUAAUUAUUUCUGUAAAAAAAUAUUAGUGAACAAAUUAAUGUGUAA